rnacentral:rRNA from 1 species
UAAUGCAAUUACUACAACAUAAUGCACCAAAUCCCAUUAGAAAUCUACAAUUAAGCACGCUUUGGAUAAUGUAGUACUAGGAUGGGUGACCUCCCAGGAAGUCCUAGUAUUUUACAUGCC